AUGAGGUUCCAAUGGUUAGUUUUGGAUUUUUUCAGGCAAGAAAGCAAAGAAGAAGGGAGGAUUCUCUAUUACCAACUUCCCCCAUUGUCCUGUCCUCAUUGGUCAUUCAUCUUUCCCGAUCUAGUGCCAUCGUUCUUCAAGGUGCCGGAGGGUUUGAAACAUACCUACUACCCCUCCCCUGAGCUUAGUUUAGAGUUGCCUCAGUGCGCUCGAGUAAUAACUGGGAAAAUCAAGGCUGGACAGGUCUUCGAGCCAACUUCAGGAAGAAAUGCAAGUGAAAGAGAAUGCUCUCGAGGGCGCAGGAGUCUUUUCUUUCUUAUUUGA
rnacentral:rRNA from 1 species